ACAGAGGUUUUGUUCAGUUCACUACUGGAUUCCUAAUACUUGGAACAGUGCCUGGACAGAGUAGGUGCUUAAAACUUAUUUUUGAGUCAAUGGAUAAUUGACAUGGCUGGUUUGAACUUCUGGAUCUUUUGCUUUGCUUUCACACAAGGAUUACUUAUACCAAUACUUUAUUUUAAAAUCUCUGGAAAUGAGACCAUCUGAAAUCAGAUAAAUAUGGCUUCAGAUACCAGCUCUGGCACUACUAGUUGCAUGAUCAUCAAUAUGUUACUUCUCUGUGCCUUAGUUUCCACAUCUGAAAAUUGAGGGUAAGAGUCCCUCUCUAGAUUUGUGAAUGGGAUGAACACAGGAUUUUAAGUACGGUUAGCCAGCAUCCAAGAUGGCCUCAAUGAUCUCUGCCUCUGGUAUUUAUGCCCUUGAGUAAUCCCAUUCCACAUGUCUCGGGUUGGUCUGUGUGUCUUAUAGAAUAUGGCUUGAAGUGAGGUUAUGUGGCUUCUGAAGCUAUCACAAUGUCAUAAAGGACACUGUGACUUCUGUCUUGCUCCAUUUCUGGGGUCACUUGCACUAGAGGAAGUCAGCUACUAAAUUACAAAGAAAUUCCAGCAACCACAAGGAGAGGUCCACAAAGUGAGAGAUUGAACCCUCGAGCUAACAAGCAUGUGAGUGAGACAUGUUGGAAGUGGAUUCUCCAGCUCCAGUCAAGCCUUCAGAUGAAUGCAGCUCCAGCCAACAUCUCACUGCAGCUUUAUGAGAGCCUCUGAGCUGGAGCCACUAGGCCAAGCUGUUCCCAAAUUCCUGACUCUCAGAAACUUGUGCAUAGGAAGAAUCUGGGGACCUUGUGGAAAGUGCAGCUCCCAGACACCUGCCUCAACUGACUCUGUGGAUGUGGAGCGGGCCCUGCCACUCCCCAUUUUUAACCUACUGGGGAGAGAACGGGAGGCAAAACUACAAACCUGAAAAUAAAGUGGCUAAGUGGCUUCUCAAACUCUUUCCAAGUCUCUAAACACCGCUGAGUCUGGAUUGUCACUGUGCUCUACAGAGGAAACGAAGACCAAGAAUUAAGCAGCUCGAUUUUCCAGUGCAGACUGUUUGACCUUUGUGACUAGUAAACCACUCCUUUUAUUAAGGCCAAAUCUGCAAAAUCUGUCUUAAAGAAAAUGGUCAGUCUUUCCUUUCUUCUAAACAUCUCUGAUUUUUUCAUCUUGUUUCCUGACUAUUCACAGACAGCAACAAUAACAGAUUCUGGAAAGAAGGAUUUGUAAUGAGGAAAUCAAGGCAGUGAGAUAAAGCAACUUGCCUGAGGUCACCCAGUUGGCAAGCUGGGGCACAGAUUUUCAGAGGUUUCUGGGAUUCCAAACCCUGUGCUCUCGGGCAUUUGUCUGAGAAAACUCUCAGGUAACACACUCUUCCCCUUCCAGUAUGUGUAUAUAGAUAUAUUUUUUUCUUCCCUUUCCAGUUUUGAGGAAAUCCCUUGACUAACACCCUCUUUCCUUCAGCUGUUAUCUUGUGGUACAUGGUGCCAAGUGCCCUCCUCAUUCCCAUCAUCUGCUCCAGAGGGUUUUUUGUCAAAAUCCCCAGAAGAUACAGAAUACAGUGAUGAUCAAGCUAGCCUUUUCCUCAUUGCCACCCCCCACAAAAAAUCCUGGUGGCCUUCACUCCCCAAGCCCCAGGGCAAUUAAUACUGUCUUCUACCAUUGCCACAGGCUGACUUGCCCAACUGGUAGGGCUGAUUCUAUCAGAUUCCUUAUCCAUACUUUGUUGUUGGAGGAUUUGUCUCAAGGCACCUGGCAAGACCCACAGGAAAUGACACCUGAGAUGUCAGUGGCUCUGCCCAGGAGGCCUCAGGCUCACCUGCCAGCUCCCUAAAGACAGGAUGCAAAGACACAUGGCAACUGUGGGAUACCUCUGGGUAUCCACCUGGCCCAGAGCCAUGAAUUAGGCACCCUGAAGAAAAUGCUAAACACCACAUGACCCUAACCAAGAUGCAACUGAGAUCAGAGCAUCUUCCCAAGCCGGUGUGACUGCUUUUGCCUGGCACCUCCCAUGUGGUCAGGCCUGGAGAGAUGGGGAGCCUAAGGAUAAGGAGCUGAAUCCUGGCUCUGCCAACUUCAACACGACCUGGAAUAAGUUACUGGGCUUUUUAUAUUUUUAUCUGCCAAAGGCCUCAAUUCUUUAUAUAAAAAACGAGGCCACGAGCAACAAUAUAUGUGAUAAGACUGAGUGAUCUGCAAAGGCAGGCUAAGACUGACUUCCCAGACACAGCCACUGAGCAACUGGUGACUGUGCGGGGGGGUUCCUGAACCUCUCUGGGGCUCAUGGGUUCAGGCUGAGAAAGUGUCUCCAUUCAGUGUCGCCCAGAGUUGAUCUGAAAAGUAGGCCAGAGUGGGCAGGGAAAUUAAGAAAAGCAUGAACCUCUGAAAACCUGCCCGGUCCGUGAGGAAAUAACCGGGUCCACUCCCUUGUCCAGAGCCUCCCCACCGCCCUCCUUCAGGCCAGCUCCGCGGGCAGGGCAGCCAGGAGGAAGGCUCAGGGACUAGGCGUCUCAGUUCCCGCUGGCCACCAACUCCCCCAUCCCCUGCCCCCUCUCUGGUUCUGUUUCUCUGUGUACGCAGGGAAGGUGUGGGCUUGUCGCCCCUGGAGGCCUUCCAGCUCCGACGUUUUGAAGCCUGGCUCCCAGAUUAAACUCCCUUCGGAUCCCAUUUUCUGAAGGGUCGCAAAAGCUGGGGGCUGGGUGGGGUAAGCUAGGGGACAACAGCGGCUCCGGCCGCCGCCUGAGCCCUUCAAGAUCAGCAUCCGGUCAAGCGGCUGUGCAGCCGAGAAGCAACCCGGGACUGCAAGUCUGCGUGGCGGGG
rnacentral:lncRNA from 1 species